UAAAGGUGCUUCAACACCGACUCUUGUGCA
rnacentral:piRNA from 1 species